UANNAAUCUUCGGCAAUGGGGGCAACCCUGACCGAGCAACGCCGCGUGAGUGAAGAAGGUUUUCGGAUCGUAAAGCUCCGUUGUAAGUCAAGAACGAGUGUGAGAGUGGAAAGUUCACACUGUGACGGUAGCUUACCAGAAAGGGACGGCUAACUACGUGCCAGCAGCCGCGGUAAUACGUAGGUCCCGAGCGUUGUCCGGAUUUAUUGGGCGUAAAGCGAGCGCAGGCGGUUUGAUAAGUCUGAAGUUAAAGGCUGUGGCUCAACCAUAGUUCGCUUUGGAAACUGUCAAACUUGAGUGCAGAAGGGGAGAGUGGAAUUCCAUGUGUAGCGGUGAAAUGCGUAGAUAUAUGGAGGAACACCGGUGGCGAAAGCGGCUCUCUGGUCUGUAACUGACGCUGAGGCUCGAAAGCGUGGGGAGCGAACAGGAUUAGAUACCCUGGUAGUCCACGCCGUAAACGAUGAGUGCUAGGUGUUGGAUCCUUUCCGGGGUUCAGUGCCGCAGCUAACGCAUUAAGCACUCCGCCUGGGGAGUACGACCGCAAGGUUG
rnacentral:rRNA from 1 species